rnacentral:rRNA from 1 species
AACGAACGCUGGCGGCAUGCCUAACACAUGCAAGUCGAACGAGACCUUCGGGUCUAGUGGCGCACGGGUGCGUAACGCGUGGGAACCUGCCCUUAGGUUCGGAAUAACUCCCCGAAAGGGGUGCUAAUACCGGAUAAUGUCUUCGGACCAAAGAUUUAUCGCCUUUGGAUGGGCCCGCGUUGGAUUAGCUAGUUGGUAGGGUAAAAGCCUACCAAGGCGACGAUCCAUAGCUGGUCUGAGAGGAUGAUCAGCCACACUGGGACUGAGACACGACCCAGACUCCUACGGGAGGCAGCAGUGGGGAAUAUUGGACAAGGGGCGAAAGCCUGAUCCAGCAAUGCCGCGUGAGUGAUGAAGGCCUUAGGGUUGUAAAGCUCUUUUACCCGGGAUGAUAAUGACAGUACCGGGAGAAUAAGCUCCGGCUAACUCCGUG